rnacentral:lncRNA from 1 species
UUAUGAGAACUGUAGAGAGUGAGUUGAGCAUAGUUUGUGAUUUUUAGGGCCCCUGAAAGUAUUAGGGUGGUGGUGGCUGCCGCACGCAAACGUGAGGGCUAGGCAAAAAGUCCCUCGUCCCACCCGACAAGAAACGCCCACAGGUGUGGAGAGGCAGACCAACCCUUCAAUCCUGUCUUGACCUCAUUGGCCUGAGGCUUUCCAUACAAAUGGAGACAACAGCAUCGUCACCACCAACUUAAAGACCUAGCCUGCUUCCCAGAGCGGCAGAAGACGACGAGGCGUGACUGCAAAUUGCUCUCCACAGUGUCUGAGGAAUAUUCCAGCAGUCUAUUCAAAUACAUUUGCAUGCAAUGAUUACAUUUACUUUCCUUUUCAACCCAUAACUUUUAUUUUGAAAAUAUUAACAGAUCAUAAUUAUCAGAGCUUACUUGUCAGUUGUAAAUGAUCCCAGGUGUAUGUCUUGUGGUAGAAUUCGAAACAACCGGUGUCCCCAAAUAUGGGCAAGUGAAUUGUAUGACCAAAGUUAAGUUAUACAUUAGUUUUUUAAGGCUCACAAUGUAUAUUUCCAAUGAAACUAUGCCAAAACAGUAGUUACAUUAAAAAUGUGCAUGGAGGCCAGGCACGGUGGCUCAUGCCUGUAAUCCCAGCACUUUGGGAGGCCGAGGCAGGUGGAUCACCUGAGGUCGGGAGCUCGAGACCAGCCUGACCAACAUGGAGAAACCCCAUCUCUACAAAAAAUACAAAAUUAGCCGGGCGUGGUGGCCCAUGCCUGCCUGUAAUCCCAGCUACUCGGGAGGCUGAGGCAGGAGAAUCACUUGAACCUGGGAGGUGGAGGUUGCAGUGAGCCAAGAUCACACCACUGCCCUCCAGCCUGGGCAACAGAAGUAAAACUCCAUCUCAAAAAACAAAAAACACCUGUGGACUGAACAAUUUUAGCUUAUGACCAGUAAUGCAAAUAUACGGCUUUCUAAUGCACUGUUGGGAAUCAUUCUGACACCACAAAGCUUACUUUAGAAUAUUGUUUUCCAGUACUGUAUAAGGUGUGAAGAAAACCUGUCAUCUGUAUCUUGAAAGAGAAUAAGGAUUGGGAAAAAGAGGCCAUUUCAACUCGGUAGCUGCUAAUUGGUCUGAACUAGUUGAGGGAGUGUCAGGAGAGCUGAGAUGCUGGAAGCAUGGACGAGCACACGCAUAUCCACCAGGGGCUUUUUUUUACCUUUUGGAAAUGGAUGCACUUCCCAGAAUUCAUUCAUUUAGCUAUGUUUCACUACAAAUAAAGCAGUUCUUUAAAACAAAAACUAGUGGCUAAAAUAUUGCAAGGAAAAAAGAGUUUUUAUAUAAAUUUUACUAUCCUAGUAAUCUUCGAUAUCUUCCUUGAUAUAAGAAUGAUAAGAAUAUGAUGUCUCAGGCUCAUUUUGUACAUUUCCUGCCCUAGACCUGAAAUUAUCCAUUUCUCUUAGAAGCCUGGUUUCUUUUGCUGGGAAAUAGUAUAUAAAAAUCACAAUCUGGGACUAAGAGUACUCAUUCCUUCUGUCUCUAGGCAGAGUUUAUACUAGUAUU